rnacentral:rRNA from 1 species
UACGGGGGGGGCAAGCGUUGUUCGGAAUUACUGGGCGUAAAGGGCGCGUAGGCGGCCUGCUAAGUCACACGUGAAAUCCCUCGGCUCAACCGGGGAACUGCGUCUGAUACUGGGUGGCUUGAAUCCGGGAGAGGGAUGCGGAAUUCCAGGUGUAGCGGUGAAAUGCGUAGAUAUCUGGAGGAACACCGGUGGCGAAGGCGGCAUCCUGGACCGGCAUUGACGCUAAGGCGCGAAAGCCAGGGGAGCAAACGGG